CUUUUAACCCUCAGCUCCUCCCCCGCGCCUGAGAAACAGGGCACUCCACUGACUCAGAAAACGUUCUUCAAUGUUUCCACUGAUUGAAAGUGUUUGGCCAGGUCACAGGGGAAUCCCAGGAGAAGUAGAGCAUGAGGCACAGCACACACAGGACAGCAUGUUCAUCGGAGAAAAGCCACCCACCAAAGGGAGAACAUGCAAACUCCACGCACACAGACCCAAGGCAGGAAUCAAACCCAGACCCUGUCGGUGCGGGGGAUGCAGAAAGAGAUUACAAUAUAAGAAGAGAAGUUCUGUAAUUGCAAUCACAACAUGUUUGUAGCAGUUAUGAAUAUAUUUGAUAAGUAUAAACAUAUGGCUUAGGCAACAACAAUGCAGUUUGGCUUUAAAAAUGGGGAUGAGUUGACCGAGCAUGUUCUCUCAACUUCUAUAAUUGUGCAGUACAGUUGUGAUGUGAGCUGAAGAGCUGUAUUGAAUUAUUACACAACCAACAUUACAGACUGUUCAAAAUCAAUUAUAUUUGUCAAAAAAAGAUACCUUCCUCUCUGUUUACAAGCCCAAGUAAAGUGAGUUGUGUCUACUAUGGCUUUAACAUUGAAAAACAUGUAACAAUAUUUUUUAUAUAUUUUGAAUUAAAAUCAGUAAAUGGUAAAGAACAAACAAAAAUUCCAAUUUUCCCCAACUUACAGUAGUGUUCAUAGGUUGUUCAGGACGGAGACAGUUUGUUCGGGUUUGUAAAGAAGAGUUCUACAUUGAUAUAAUACAGUACUAAUUAAAUCAAGUGUUAACAAUCGAUAAAAAAAAUGUUGAAUGGGCUUGCAAAUCCAUGUUAACAAUAAUAAAUAUCUAUCUAUCUAUC